AUCCUUUGCGGUUCGUAACCAGAGUAGGUUUUCACACCAUUAUGUGAGAUGUGCCUCCCUCAAACCUUGUUACAACAUUGGCACUGUACCUGUCUGAUG
rnacentral:snoRNA from 1 species